rnacentral:rRNA from 1 species
UUAAGUAAGGAAGGGCGUACGGCGAAUGCCUGGCCACUCGAAACUGAAGAAGGACGCGCCAAACUGCGAAAAGCUCCGUGAAGCUGUAAGGAAGCGAAGAAGCGGAGGUGUCCGAAUGGGGGAACCCGGCAGCAGACAUGAGCUGUCAUCUGCAGGUGAAUACAUGGCCUGCAAGAGAGGUACCCGGCGAACUGAAACAUCUAAGUAGCCGGAGGAAAAGAAAACAACAGUGAUUCCCUGAGUAGCGGCGAGCGAAAGGGGAGAAGCCCAAACCGGUUGAAGGACCGGGGUUGAAGGACCAUGACAUGGCAAGAACGAGGAUAGGAGAACGGGAUCGAAAGCCCGGCCGAAGAAGGUGAAAGCCCUGUAACCGAAAUCCGAGCAAAGCCUAAUGGGAUCCUGAGUACGGCGAGACACGAGAAAUCUUGUCGGAAGCAGGCGGGACCAUCCGCCAAGGCUAAAUAUAAACGAGUGAGCGAUAGUGAACCAGUACCGUGAGGGAAAGGUGAAAAGAACCGCGGGAGCGGAGUGAAAGAGAACCUGAAACCGUAUGCCUACAAGAAGUCAGAGCCCGUUAAGGGGUGAUGGCGUGCCUUUUGUAGAAUGAACCGGCGAGUUGCGACAGACUGCGAGGUUAAGGAGGAAAGACCGGAGCCGAAGCGAAAGCGAGUCUUAAGAGGGCGAAAGUAGGAUGUUGCAGACCCGAAACCGGGUGAUCUAGCCAUGAGCAGGUUGAAGUUGAGGUGAAACUCAAUGGAGGACCGAACCGACUACCGUUGAAAAGUUAGCGGAUGACUUGUGGCUAGGGGAGAAAUUCCAAUCGAACCCGGAGAUAGCUGGUUCUCCCCGAAAUAGCUUUAGGGCUAGCGUCGGAAAGAACCUUAGUGAAGGUAGAGCACUGAAUGUGUGAUGGCCCCAUCCCGGGGUACUGAAUACAAUCAAACUGCGAAUGUCAUUAAGGAUGUCCGGCAGUCAGACUGUGAGUGAUAAGGUCCAUGGUCAAGAGGGAAACAGCCCAGACCGCCAGUUAAGGUCCCAAAAUACAGGCUAAGUGGAAAAGGAUGUGGGGAUGCCCAGACAACUAGGAGGUUGGCUCAGAAGCAGCCAUCCUUUAAAGAGUGCGUAACAGCUCACUAGUCGAGUGACCCUGCGCCGAAAAUGUACCGGGGCUAAGCCUGAUACCGAAACUGCGGAUUGUAGGAAACUAUAGUGGUAGGGGAGCGUUGUAUACGAGCAGAAGCCGUACCGUGAGGAGCGGUGGAUUGUAUAGAAGUGAGAAUGCCGGUGUGAGUAGCGAGAUGUAGGUGAGAAUCCUACACACCGAAAGCCCAAGGAUUCCAGGGGAAGGUUCGUCCGCCCUGGGUAAGUCGGGACCUAACGCGAGGCCGAAAGGCGUAGUGGAUGGAAAGCAGGCGAAAGAUUCCUGCACCCGUAUAUGGAGCGAAGGAGUGACGGAGACGGAUAGUGUGACCCUCUUAAUGGAUUGAGGGCGAAGCGAAGCGGCUGGUUACCAGGCAAAUCCGGUAACCAAAAGGCUAGAGCGUGACAGGUAAGCGAAAUCUUAGGAAAGUAGCGAAGCACAUGAUGACGGCUUCCAGGAAAAGCUUCUGGCAAUGCAUAUGCGGCCCGUACCAAAACCGACACAGGUGGGCAGGGAGAGAAUCCCGAGGUGAGCGAGAGAACUGUUGCCAAGGAACUCGGCAAAAUGACUCCGUAAGUUAGCGAGAAGGAGUGCUUAAGCAAUUAAGCCGCAGUGAAGAGGCCCAAGCGACUGUUUAACUAAAACACAGCUCUCUGCGAAGUCGCAAGACGAAGUAUAGGGGGUGACACCUGCCCGGUGCUGGAAGGUUAAGAGGAUCUGUUAAGAGCGAUCUGAAGCAGUGAUCCGAAGCCCCAGUGAACGGCGGCCGUAACUAUAACGGUCCUAAGGUAGCGAAAUUCCUUGUCAGGUAAG